CCGGGUUGAGAACCAGUGCCCCGCACUCAAGGAGGUGGGCUUCGGAAGCGAGUGCCCGGAGUGGGGGGCUCAACCAGGAAACCCGGCGCUGGCCACCACACUUCCACCAGUGACUGCGCAGGCUGGGAAGUGGAGAGGUCACGUGUUGGCGGAAACUUUGGAUGUGAUGGGACUAGAUAUUUGAAGUUCCUGCUUUGAGUUCCCAAACCCAAUGAUGGACUGUAACCUGAAAUUAUAAGACAACAAUCCCAAAGGAAGUAAGCAGGAGAAAGAAACAGUUUAUUGCAGUGUCUCCUUGGAAACAUCUGACAGGGUGCAGGUUUUAUACCUGGAACUAAGGUGAAAUCCAAUCCCAAGGCCCCGUGUUCAUUAAAAAGGCCCACAGCAUUGCUUAGAAGUGUCAGAAGCUGGCUUGACUGAAUUCUAGCAGGGAUAAUUGCAUUCCAACUGCCUCAGGUUCCCUUGUAUUCGUCAAUUCAAUAAGGUGUUGUUCCUUUGUGAAGAAGGCCUGGUGUCCACCCUGGGCAGGAUGACUGGCCCUCAGCAGCACUGCUGACAGGUGACAGAUGACCCAUUGCUACAAGUCAGUAGAGGUAUUUUGCCAAAAGAAAAGAGGGAAAAACCCAUGAAAGGAGAAGAAGGCUGCUGAAUCCCAAGACUAACUGGUACUUACUUGGAAUGGAUGGUGGUGGACCUUCAGAGAACCUCCUCCUUUCAUUAUAUAAUGCUAACCCUUGAGUGCCUUGUGAUUUGGAAAAAAAAUUGAAAAAGAAAUAAAAAAGAGCAGAUAUCAUGGGAAUGGAGAGAAACCCGAUGCUAGGGAAGUGGCCAGGAAUUCCCAAGGAUGACCCCAGCUUGGACUACUAGAAAUAGUGGAGAGGGUGCCUGAACUGAACUGGCUUGCCCCAGUGGUCAGAUCAGUGAAUAACCUAACUGUCAUCACAGAGCUUUUCUCCAAUGGAGUCCAAUUGAAGAAAGAGAAGAGGGAUUCUAUGAACAAGUGCAUCAGGAUUGUGAUGGGGAAACCUGCAGAGAUGACCAAACCAAACUAGUGGGAACUCAUGAAAGUUGGAUCAAUGGCUGUGGAGCCUGCAUGGGACUGGACUAGGCCCUCCGCAUGGCAAGACAAUUGUGCAACUUGAUCUGCUUGGAGGUUCCCCUGGCGGUAGAAUCAGAAUCCAUCCCUGGUGCAUGAGAGUGCUUUUUGGAGCUCACUACUUAUGAUGGGACACCUUGUACAGCCUCGAGAAAGGCUUAGAUUUGCCUCUACUGGAUGUGCCUCCCCAUGGGAGACCUUACCUUCUUGUGUGGGGGAGUGACAGUGGGUUGGGGGGCGAGGCUGAGGAGGCUGGAGGGGGGAAGAGAUGCAUCUUUGAUUGGUGUGUAAAAUGAAUAAAAAAAAUUCUUAAUAAAGAAAGAGUUCAAAUAAAGUCAUCCUGUGUAAGUAGAAAAGAAGCACUUCCAGGGACCAUAAGGUUAUUGGGUGAAUAUUGCAAUUUUGUAACAACUCCUCCAGACUCAACAUUGUAGAAGAGAGAGUGGGAAUAAACUCUAAGACAGAGGAA